UACGUAGGGUGCGAGCGUUAAUCGGAAUUACUGGGCGUAAAGCGUGCGCUGGCGGUUCGUUAAGUCUGCCGUGAAAGCCCCGGGCUCAACCUGGGAAUGGCGGUGGAUACUGGCGGACUAGAGUGCGGUAGAGGGUGGUGGAAUUCCCGGUGUAGCAGUGAAAUGCGUAGAGAUCGGGAGGAACAUCUGUGGCGAAGGCGGCCACCUGGACCAGCACUGACACUGAGGCACGAAAGCGUGGGGAGCAAACAGG
rnacentral:rRNA from 1 species